AGUGAACGCUGGCGGUAGGCCUAACACAUGCAAGUCGAACGGCAGCACAGGAGAGCUUGCUCUCUGGGUGGCGAGUGGCGGACGGGUGAGGAAUACAUCGGAAUCUGCCCAGUCGUGGGGGAUAACGUAGGGAAACUUACGCUAUUACCGCAUACGACCUUCGGGGGAAAGAGGGGGAUCGCAAGACCUCUCGCGAUUGGAUGAGCCGAUGUCGGAUUAGCUAGUUGGCGGGGUAAUGGCCCACCAAGGCGACGAUCCGUAGCUGGUCUGAGAGGAUGAUCAGCCACACUGGAACUGAGACACGGUCCAGACUCCUACGGGAGGCAGCAGUGGGGAAUAUUGGACAAUGGGCGCAAGCCUGAUCCAGCCAUACCGCGUGGGUGAAGAAGGCCUUCGGGUUGUAAAGCCCUUUUGUUGGGAAAGAAAUCUUUCAGGCUAAUACCCUGGGAGGAUGACGGUACCCAAAGAAUAAGCACCGGCUAACUUCGUG
rnacentral:rRNA from 1 species